UUCCAGGAAGCUUACUUUGCUCUAAUCUGU
rnacentral:piRNA from 1 species